UCAACCAUAAACGAUGCCGACCAGGGAUCGGCGGAUGUUGCUUAUAGGACUCCGCCGGCACCUUAUGAGAAAUCAAAGUCUUUGGGUUCCGGGGGGAGUAUGGUCGCAAGGCUGAAACUUAAAGGAAUUGACGGAAGG
rnacentral:ncRNA from 1 species